rnacentral:rRNA from 1 species
AGGGUGUAAACGCUGCAGACUUGGUGUUGGAGGCCCUUUGGGGGCAUUCAGUGCCGGAGAGAAGUUGUUAAGUCUGCUACUUGGGGAGUACGUCCGCAAGGAUGAAACUUAAAGGAAUUGGCGGGGGAGCACCGCAACGGGAGGAGCGUGCGGUUUAAUUGGAUUCAACACCGUAAACUCACCAGGGAAGACUGUUACAUGAGGGCCGAGAUGAAGACUCUGCUAGAUUUUCAGAGAGGAGGUGCAUGCGUCAGUGACU